rnacentral:lncRNA from 1 species
UCAAAUCUAUUAAAUUAGUGACCAGGGCAGCCAUAUAUGAUCUUAAACAAUCAACAACAACAUAAUUAUUUAGAAUCCGGUUGAGACCCGUAACAUUAGGCUGAAAUCACAAUAAUUGGAGAUGAACAAGGUAGGAGUAGAAUGUUUUACUCCCAAUCAUUUAACUUCUCCAACUCAAAUUAAUGUUAGGAAAUAAGCACCGACCACUUUCUUCUCUUCUUCUUGAUCAAUAGUGAUUCGGAGGCCUACAUGCUCUGUAAUUAUGUAAAAUUACUGACACCCGACAUCCCAUUUCCGCAUGGAAAAUGACUAGUACUUGCACGCCUAAUUAAUCUUUCAUUCAUGGUCCUUCCUUCCACUCGGGCUUAUGAUUGUGGUUUGAUUCCACAUCUAAGUAAGUGGGCGGACCUUUCGCGCGCACGUCAAUGCACAUUGCAAAUUCCAAAAAAACAAAAUGUCAAAGAGUUUGUUUUUGACAUUCAUGCUCAUGCAUAGGCAUAGCUGUAGGAAAUAAUUUUGGGUUUUAUUUUUGCUUAUAGAUUAGACUAGAUUGAAAUGAAAAAGGAUGGAUACGUUUUGACUACUUCAAUUACGUGGCUGCUGAGUCUUCUUGGGUGGCUAGACUAGUGAAAGUGCCAUUUCUGGAUGGAUAUACAUAAGAAGUUAAUUGCCAGUCUUAUCAAAUAAUUUUGCUGUUGUCACGACCAAUUCUACUUUUAAAGUGAGUAGUAGUCAUGUGAUGUAAUACGUACAAGAGACGAGUUAACGACCAAUAUCUGGCUUUGUGGUCUUACACAACUGUUGUUGCUCCAUCUCCCAACUUAGCUUAGAUGCCGCCUCGUCAUGCUCUGGAACAUACUCCUAAAUACAAUCAAUAAAUCCACAGUAAAACUAGUCUUGUCUUGUCUUGUUGUGGAAGGGAGCGUAAUCUAUAAUGGAAGGAAGGAAGGAAGGAAGGAAGGGCUGACCAGUGACCAUAGAUAUAUAUUGUACUCUGUGUCGCUGGUAAUGGAGCAAAUAAUACAUAAAUAUUACGAGUAGAAAGUACGUACGUACCUCAAGCUUGGAGAUGAGUUCGAGGGCAGUUGGGGAAGAAACAAUAAUGUGACGGGCAGAGGGAGUGAUGAAACCUUCGUCAACAGCUUUGUCUAUGAAACACAACAGUGAAUUGUAAUAUCCAUCCACGUUCAAUAAACCCACCUGUAUUAAUUCACCAUAUAUACAUAUUGUAACGCCUGAUUUUGUACACCUGACGACCUCACGAAAUCAAAAGAAGAGCUCUGUAAUUGUUGAUCAUCGGCGCGAAAGGGUUGCAGAUAGUGAAUCUGAUGAGAGUUGAGCCAUUAUUUGUUGAUUGAUCAAUCAAUCCCAGGGCUUUGUUUUCAGUUUUACGGAAAUUCAGGUGGAUCUGAUCUAGUAUUUUGGUUAAAUUUUUUCUUUCUUGUCACCAUCUCGUUUACAGUCACUGGAUUGGAAUUGUCAGUUAAGAUCUUCCGGAGUUCCUUGGCCCAUCAGAAUUCUGAACUUAAAGAUUUGGAACUUUUGCAAUCGAUACAUCCGAAGCUCUGGAGACCCAUUAUUUUACACAGGUGCAUGAUUGUAAAGCUCUUACAACCUUUUGAUGGCCGCUUGAAUAGUCAAGCCACUUUUCUAAUCCACUGGAGGAUUACCGAACGGAUUACACAGGGGUCGGGAUGGAUUGGGGUUCGAGGUCGAAUAUGGUGUUGAGACAUGAGUCUCCGGCAGCCUGUAACUAGGAUUUGUAGACGAACAUAGCUUGUCGCCAUCGUUGUUCCAAGGUAAGCCUGGAGAAGAUGUUGAUCAGGCACUCGUGAGUCAACUCAGCCCAAUAAGAUCGGAGUCCGGACUCGAACCCUGUUCCUUGUCCUACCCCUCCUCCUUUAUCAUCUAUAUCCAUUUGGUGUUUGUUGUCCUUCCUUUAUUGAAAAAGAAUUACAAGAGCAUGAACAUGAGUUUAUACACAUGUACACGUGCAAAAAAAAACAAAUAUUAAUAUGAAUGAAAUAUUAAUAUCAAUGAUUAUCCCAACCACAUGAUACCCGAAGAUGUACAUGCACAUGAUGGCAGAAGGUGUACAGUACCUCUUUUUUAUUUAUUAAGUAACAUAGCUUUUAUGUGACACCCAAUCAAUAACAUAUCUUAUUUAUUUAUUUAUCUUUUACCAACGAAGACUACUAAUUAUGUGAUGCAGCCAUAUAUAAAGCAGUUAUAUGCGGCUGCCACAAAGUCCAACUGGAUGACUAUCAAGAAUUCUAGGGAGUAUUUGAAUGUAUGCUCAUGCUUGCCAAAAAUAAUAAAGAAAGAGACAAAAGACUUAGCUUUAGUUGAAUUAGUAGCGGUUCUGCAUGCGAUUCGGAUCAAAAUACUUCAAAUAAUUGCAUCGUCUCCAUUAUACAUCGGUAAUUGGUGAUUAAAAAAAAAAUUACAGUAUAAAAACGUUCCCACAGACGGCACCAAUGUUAACGCCUGAUUUUGUACACCUGACGAAAUCACCAAAACAGCAGGCCAAAAUAGCGCCAACGGUUUGAUGGAGUAAUUGUUGUGAAAUCAAACUCACGAAAUACACUCACAUAAAUAUAAAUAAAGAAAUAUAAAUCAUGAACACAAGAAUUUACGUGAAAACCCAAUUGAAAAAAAACCACGGGGAGAGAGAGUAAUCCACUAUAAUAAUAUUAGGAGUACAAGAUGUGUAUAUGGAGAGUACAAGUUGUUGUGUUCUAUGAUCUUCUUCCUUCAAACCCUAGCUUGUAGCCAUAUAUAUAGAAGCCACCUCCACCCGUAUCCUACUAGGAGAAGGACUCCUUAUCCCUCCAAAUAAGGAAACACAAUCCUAUUUUAAUAAGGACUCUUCCAUUGUCAUAAUAAAUACAUAUGGGCCAUCAUCAGAUCCGGACCAUUAAAUAGGCUGGGUCGCACCAUGGCUAGACCCAAAUAAUCACAUCCCAACAUUGCCCUCAGUCUCUUAUUUAUAAGGAACUUAUAAAUGAGAGACUAUAUAAGUUUAUCCCAACAAAAACGACUAUAUUUGUCAAAGACAAAAUAUCACAGCUGAACUCCAUAUGCCGAACUAAAAUUGUUAAAGAACCAACCUUAUCCCAACCGAACCAACCUUAUCACAACCGAAUAUAUAAAGAAUCAAUCUUAUACCAACCGAACCAACCUUAUCACAACCGAAUAUAGAGAACCAACCUUAUCCUAACCGAACUAACCUUAUACCAACAGAACCAACCUUAUCCCAACCGAACCAACCUUAUCACACCCGAAGAUAUAAAGAACCAACCAUAUCACAACCGAAUAUAGAGAACCAACCUUAUACCAACCGAACCAACCUUAUCACAACCGAACACCAAUUAUAAAGUUCGUUUCGGAGAACUAAAUGUAUUCGUUCUAAAGAACUGUACAAAUGUUUAUUCUGACCGUUCGGGAGGACGUUGGUCCGUCCCAAAGGAUAUUGUUCGAUUGAGAGGACGAUGAUCCGUCCCGAAUGAAGUAAUCCGUUCGGGAGGAUGAUGGUCCGUCCCGAAGGAUGUUUGAUCGUUCGGGAGGACGUUUGUCCGACCUUAUGCCCCCAGUCUCUUAUUUAUAAGAACCUUAUUGAUAAGAGACUAUUCAUAAAGUAUCCAUAGGAUUUUUAUCCUCGGGACUUUUAUCCUCGGGAUUUACAUCCUCGGGACUUUUAUCCUCGGGAUUUUUAUCCGCUGAAUUUUUAUCCGCUGGAUUUUUAUCCUCGGAAUUUUAUCCUCGGGACUUAUAUCCUAGGGAUUUAUAUCCUCGGGAUUUUUAUCCUCGGGAUUUAUAUCCUCGGGAUUUUUAUCCUCGGGACUUAUAUCCUCAGGAUUUACAUCCUCGGGAUUUUAUCCUCGGGACUUAUAUCCGCUGGAUUUUUCAUCCUUUCGGGAGAUCAAAGCCUUCCCGAAGGACGUUUGUCCGACCUUAUAACCCCUGCAACCUUAUGCCGCCAUAAUAUCUGUCCCGACCCCUAUGGGAGGCUUGACUGUUUGGGAGGACGUUGGUCCGUCCCGAAGGAUAUAAACCGUUCGGGAGGACGUUUGUCCGUCCCGAAGGAUGUUGACCUUCCUUAUAACCCCCCGACCUUAUGCCGCCAUAAUAUCUGUCCCGACCCCUAUGGGAGGCUUGACUGUUUGGGAGGACGUUGGUCCGUCCCGAAGGAUAUAAACCGUUCGGGAGGACGUUUGUCCGUCCCGAAGGAUGUUGACCUUCCUUAUAACCCCCCGACCUUAUGCCGCCAUAAUAUCCGUCCCGACGAUCAGUGUUGAUUCCAGGUGCUAGUUUCAUAUUACUGAAGCCGAUGGGCUUGGAUUGCCUUGGUUGGCUUCGAGAAGCAUAUAGAAGAGGUUGUUGCUGGUUAAGAAUUUUCUGAGCAGCUUCUUCGGCGAGACCAUUCCAAGGAACAUGAUCCGAAUCAAUGGCACCUUGUUUCUGAGCCUGAACAAGCUGAUGAUGCGUAUGAUUAUGCUGAUGAUGAUAUUGAACCGGCACGUGAUGAGCAUACGCACGAUUGUUUUGAACCGAAACCCUUACAUGACCCUGAAUUGUCGGCGCAUGGAAGUAAUCACUGCCCGGGGUAAGUGGUUGUGGCGGUUUGUGGUAUAAGAGUUGGGUCUGCUGAGUCGGAUCGGUUGAACUGCUACUACGAGGAACGAACUCAGGCGCUUUGGCGUUGAGUCGACUCGAUGAUAGAUUACGUGAAAGUUGUGAAGACGGAUCAAAAGAAGAGCUCUGUAAAUGUUGAUCAUCGGCGCGAGAAGAGUCUAGGGUUGCAGAUAGUGAAUCUGAUGAGAGUUGAGCCAUUAUUUGUUGAUUAAUCAAUCAAUCCCAGGGCUUUGUUUUCAGUUUUACUGAAAUUCAGGUGGAUCUGAUCUAGUAUUUUGGGUAAAUUUUUUUUUUCUUGUCACCAUCUCGUUUACAGUCACUGGAUUGGAAUUGUCAGUUAAGAUCUUCCGGAGUUCCUUGGCCCAUCAGAAUUCUGAACUUAAAGAUUUGGAACUUUUGCAAUCGAUACAUCCGAAGCUCUGGAGACCCAUUAUUUUACACAGGUGCAUGAUUGUAAAGCUCUUACAACCUUUUGAUGGCCGCUUGAAUAGUCAAGCCACUUUUCUAAUCCACUGGAGGAUUACCGAACGGAUUACACAGGGGUCGGGACGGAUUGGGGUUCGAGGUCGAAUAUGGUGUUGAGACAUGAGUCUCCGGCAGCCUGUAGCUAGGAUUUGCAGACGAACAUAGCUUGUCGUCAUCGUUGUUCCAAGGUAAGCCUGGAGAAGAUGUUGAUCAGGCACUCGUGAGUCAACUCAGCCCAAUAAGAUCGGAGUCCGGACUCGAACCCUGUUCCUUGUCCUACCCCUCCUCCUUUAUCAUCUAUAUCCAUUUGGUGUUUGUUGUCCUUCCUUUAUUGAAAAAGAAUUACAAGAGCAUGAACAUGAGUUUAUACACAUGUACACGUGCAAAAAAAAACAAAUAUUAAUAUGAAUGAAAUAUUAAUAUCAAUGAUUAUCCCAACCACAUGAUACCCGAAGAUGUACAUGCACAUGAUGGCAGAAGGUGUACAGUACCUCUUUUUUAUUUAUUAAGUAACAUAGCUUUUAUGUGACACCCAAUC